CGGUAGCGUCGUGUCAGCAGCCGGGGCAAUCGGGGGGGUGCAAGGGUCGUACGGGUUUAAUAGGCGGCAAGCGCUCGGAGGCGGUUUCAUGCGUCGUGCGUGAAAGCCCUCGGGUCAACUGGGGGUGGUCGGGCGAUACGGUGGAACUCGAGGCCAGUAGGGGGACGCGGAAUUCCGGGUGUAGUGGUGGAAUGCGUAGAGAUCCGGAGGAACACCAGCGGCGAAGGCGGCGUCCUGGACUGGUACUGACGCUCAGGAGCGAAAGCGUGGGGAGCGAUCCGGAUUAGAUACCCGAGUAGUC
rnacentral:rRNA from 1 species